CGUNNGGAGCUCUCCCAUAUGGUCGACCUGCAGGCGGCCGCGAAUUCACUAGUGAUUAGAGUUUGAUCCUGGCUCAGAUUGAACGCUGGCGGCGUGCUUAACACAUGCAAGUCGAACGUGAAAGUCCUUCGGGGCGAGUAAAGUGGCGCACGGGUGAGUAACGCGUGGAUAAUCUACCCUUAAGAUGGGGAUAACGGCUGGAAACGGUCGCUAAUACCGAAUACGCUCCCGAUUUUAUCAUUGGGGGGAAAGAUGGCCUCUGCUUGCAAGCUAUCGCUUAAGGAUGAGUCCGCGUCCCAUUAGCUAGUUGGCGGGGUAACGGCCCACCAAGGCAACGAUGGGUAGCCGGUCUGAGAGGAUGACCGGCCACACUGGAACUUGAACACGGUCCAGACUCCUACGGGAGGCAGCAGUGGGGAAUAUUGCGCAAUGGGCGAAAGCCUGACGCAGCGACGCCGCGUGAGGGAUGAAGGUUCUCGGAUCGUAAACCUCUGUCAGGGGGGAAGAAACCCCCUCGUGUGAAUAAUGCGAGGGCUUGACGGUACCCCCAAAGGAAGCACCGGCUAACUCCGUGCCAGCAGCCGCGGUAAUACGGAGGGUGCAAGCGUUAAUCGGAAUCNCUGGGCGUAAAGCGCACGUANGCGGCUUGGUAANNCNNGGGUGAAAUCCCACANCCCAACUGUGGANCUGCCUUUGAUACUGCC
rnacentral:rRNA from 1 species